UUAAAAAUUAAUUCAUAUUAAUUAAGAUUUCAAAACCUAUACCUAUAUUUAUUACAUAAAUAGAUAAAAAUUAAUAAACAUUUGUUAUCUUAAUUUAUAGAUUUCCCAAUUCUAACUGAAGCGCUAUAAGCGCAGCUCAGACACGAAUUCCAUCGAUCGAUAACAGAGCUCUAUGCCCACUCUAUUAUUGAUGUUUUUAAGGUUCAUGUUAUGUUUACUCAAACAUUCAGUCUUCAAUACACAGUCCCAGAGUCAGUCCACUUAGAUGCUUAUUCCAAUCAUGCAUGCGUUUCAGAAUAAUUUUUUGGAGUGUUUGUGAGUUGUAUCAAGAUGAUGAUGAAACAAAAGAUUUCAGUAUUAAUUUUGAAAACAUUAAUCUACAAAUAAUAGUAUGGACAUUUGUAAUUUUGUAUACAAUCGAUCUACACCUUAAAAUAAGUAUAGAUGUAACAAAUUACGCACAGCCACCUUCUAGAUAUUGGCAUUUAAGAUGGUAAAAUAAUAAAUUAACACAAGAGUACAAGACCCGUAAAUACAUUUUAAGUAAUCAUCAAUACACUGUUUUAAUUAAUAUUUCAGAAAAUUCUAUACGAUGUCCUUUAUUGUAUACCCUAAUUAUUAUGUUGAUAUCAUAAAUUUACAUGCACUGGCAUAAAGGUGGAAAUUCUACGUUGAAACCAAAAAAAAAUUAAUGCUGGUGACACGAAACUGCAUUAUCAAAAACUCAAAAACUAUAGAUUUGGUUUGGGUAUCGUAAUAAGUUAUUCAUUUUUCAAGUGACAUAAUCAUAUUUUAUUUUAUUUUACUGGCUUAGUAGUUAGUACUUUGAUAAAAGUAAACAUAUAUAUGAUAUUUAAUAUAAUAAUAUUAUUAAAAAUUUAAGUUCUUAUUUUAUAAUAUUGUCAAAAUAUCAUUUUAAAUAAUGUUAGUUUAAAUUAUACGGAGGAACAAUUUAAAUCAUAAAUUAUAUUUUA